CUGUGGUGAGAGGGGGGCGGUCUGGGGAGUCUUAAAGUCAUCCAAAUGAACCUGGUAUAUUGAAUUAGCAACACAAAUUAUAAAUUAUAAUGUAUCACUACUUUCAUUCUUCAACAAGAUUUAUUGGCAUAUAUCCUUGUCGCGAGAAAGAUCUUUGGAAAAUUAAGCUUGAAACGCGUACUGACAGUGGCAGAGCAAUUUGUGCUGUUUUAAUGGUUUAAUAGAGGCCACUAUUUUAAAUUAAACGAGGUAGACUCGUACAUGACUUGACCUAAAUUCCCACGUCCAGAGGUAUCAAGUCCGAGUUCUUUGAUAUAGAGUCCAAGUCCAAUGCAUGUGUUCAAGUUCUAAUCAUACCCUCAAGUCCGGACUCGAGUCACAGCUUACUGGCUUUACUUACGUGUGAAUAAU